UGUUGCCUAUGAUGACUUGCAAGAAUAGCCUACAUUGUUUGACAAGUACCUUAGUGAUAUUAAUUGCAAGCGCUGAGGCUUGA
rnacentral:snoRNA from 1 species